rnacentral:tRNA from 1 species
CCGACCUUAGCUCAGUUGGUAGAGCGGAGGACUGUAGUGGGACUUUAGCUGGCAGAUUAAUCCUUAGGUCGCUGGUUCGAAUCCGGCAGGUCGGA